rnacentral:sRNA from 1 species
GCCGGGCAUGGUGGUACACAUGCCUGUAAUCCCAGCACUUGGGAGGCUGAAGCAGGAGGAUCACUGUGAGUUCGAGACCAGCCUGGGCUACACAGUGAGAGUUCCAGGUCAGUCUCAACUAUUUAGUGAGACCCUGUUUCAAACAAAACAAAACAAACAAACAAACAAAGACAGGGUCUCACUACGUAGUUGAGACUGACCUGGAACGCACUAUGUAGCCCAGGCUGGUCUCGAACUCACAGCGCUCCUCCUGCCUCA